UGGUUCCGGCAUCGAUGAAGAACGCAGCGAAAUGCGAUAAGUAAUGUGAAUUGCAGAAUUCAGUGAAUCAUCGAAUCUUUGAACGCACAUUGCGCCCUUUGGCAUUCCGAAGGGCAUGCCUGUUCGAGCGUCAUUUCACCAAUCAAGCCCAGGCUUGGAGUUGGGCGAUUCCUGGCCUUGCCCCGUGCUCGGCCCGCCCGGAAGUCAUCGGUGGGGGAGACCGACCCCUGGCGUGUUGAGGACGAGAGUUCGUACGUCAGGAGCACCGGUCGAGCCCGGCACCGUCAACAAGCGGACGGCCCUCGCGGCCGCCCGCACACACCAAAGGUUGACCUCGGAUCAGGUAGGGAUACCCGCUGA
rnacentral:misc_RNA from 1 species